rnacentral:rRNA from 1 species
UACGUAGGGACCGAGCGUUGUCCGGAAUCAUUGGGCGUAAAGAGCGUGUAGGCGGCCACUUAAGUCCUGCGUGAAAUCUUGCGGCUCAACCGCAAGCGGUCGUGGGAAACUGGGUGGCUAGAGUGCGGGAGAGGAAGGUGGAAUUCCUGGUGUAGCGGUGAAAUGCGUAGAUAUCAGGAGGAAUACCGGUGGCGAAGGCGGCCUUCUGGACGGUGACUGACGCUGAGACGCGAAAGCGUGGGGAGCGAACGGG